UACGUAGGGUGCGAGCGUUAAUCGGAAUUACUGGGCGUAAAGCGUGCGUAGGCGGUUCGUUAAGUUCGUUGUGAAAGCCCCGGGCUCAACCUGGGAACUGCAAUGGAAACUGGCGGGCUUGAGUGUGGCAGAGGGGGGUGGAAUUCCGCGUGUAGCAGUGAAAUGCGUAGAGAUGCGGAGGAACACCGAUGGCGAAGGCAGCCCUCUGGGCCGAUACUGACGCUGAGGAGCGAAAGCGUGGGGAGCGAACAGG
rnacentral:rRNA from 1 species